rnacentral:rRNA from 1 species
GUGGGGAAUUUUGCGCAAUGGGCGAAAGCCUGACGCAGCGACGCCGCGUGGGGGAAGAAGGCCUUCGGGUUGUAAACCCCUUUCGUGAGGGAAAAAGUCCCGAGCAAUCGGGAUGAUGGUACCUCAGGAAGAAGCCACGGCUAACUCUGUGCCAGCAGCCGCGGUAAGACAGAGGUGGCAAGCGUUGUUCGGAUUUACUGGGCUUAAAGGGCGUGUAGGCGUCCUGAUAAGUCAGAUGUGGAAGCCUUGGGCUUAACCCAAGAAUUGCAUUUGAAACUGUCAGGAUUGAGUCGUGCAUGGGAGGGCGGAAUUCCUGGUGUAGCGGUGAAAUGCGUAGAUAUCAGGAGGAAGGCCGGUGGUGAAGAUGGCCCUCUGGGCAAUGACUGACGCUGAGGCGCGAAAGCGUGGGUAGCAAACAGGAUUAGAAACCCGAGUAGUCC